rnacentral:misc_RNA from 1 species
GUUGAACUAAAAAGAAAUCAGAAGGGAGUCAGCUAAUCCUAUAUAAGCACAUUCCGGUACCUUGUUUUCCUCAAAGCCUUACAGAACUCCUUUGAUCAAGAUCAACAAACUUGAAAGAAUAAUCACUUAACAAUGGCCUCUUUCAAUUGCUUCAUCCUUAUUUUAUUCAUUGUUUUAUCAUUUUCAAGCCUCAAUGUGGCUCUAGCUGCU